GACGAUGGAGUUUAAUGGAGGAGGAGCUCGUCGAUUAAGCUAUGGAGGAUUGGGAUGUCCGAUGGUGGAGGAUUGUGGUUGAAGGAGAAAGAAGAUGAAGAUUUUUGAGUGGGGUCCAUGUCUAUUUUUCUUUUCUUUUUUUUUUGUUUAAAUUAAAUCAAAUAAUAAGAGGGGCAAAAUAUGUCCUUAUUUAAGUUAAUAUAUGGUCCAAGGGUAGUUAGAACAUAGAAGGGUAUGAGAGUAUAUAGACAGAUUAUUCGGAUAUCCGUUCGGAUUCGGGUUCGGAUGUUCGGAUCUUCGGAUGUUCGGAUAUAGACAUAUAGAAUCCGAUCGGAUAUUGUAUAAUUUCGGGUCGGAUUCGGAUCGGAUGCUUUCAAGUUCGGUUAAUUUCGGAUAUAUCCGAAAUAUGAUUGUGGCGCCGAAUAUCCAAAGAUUUUGAUGAUUUUUAUCCAAAAUUGAAAAAAAAAA
rnacentral:lncRNA from 1 species